ACGAACGCUGGCGGCAGGCUUAACACAUGCAAGUCGAACGCCCCGCAAGGGGAGUGGCAGACGGGUGAGUAACACGUGGGAACGUGCCCGAAGGUACGGAAUAUUCUCGGGAAACUGAGAGCAAUACCGUAUGUGACCGUAAGGUGAAAGAUUUAUCGCCUUCGGAUCGGCCCGCGUCGGAUUAGCUUGUUGGUGGGGUAAUGGCCUACCAAGGCGACGAUCCGUAGCUGGUCUGAGAGGACGACCAGCCACACUGGGACUGAGACACGGCCCAGACUCCUACGGGAGGCAGCAGUGGGGAAUCUUGGACAAUGGGCGCAAGCCUGAUCCAGCCAUGCCGCGUGGAUGACGAAGGCCUUAGGGUUGUAAAAUCCUUUCGCCGAGGACGAUAAUGACGGUACUCGGAGAAGAAGCUCCGGCUAACUUCGU
rnacentral:rRNA from 1 species